UGAAGAGAUAUACUAUAUUUUGAAGAUAACAGUGCAUGUCUGGCUCAUCCCCACAGAUGUCCGUGGACUUUAACACCUAAGCAGACAAGCGCAGCACUCAAAUUACUUCUAGGACUUUAAGCCUAAUAUGGCUUACUUUGUUUUUGUACACAACGCAUGACAAAGUAAGAUGAGACUGAUCUCAUGGGAACACCAGUUCUGAAUUAGUGAUAUGGAUACAUAUCAAUCAACAGAACACGUGGAAACCUUCCUGGAGGAGUUCAGGGAGCAGAUCAUCGAUGGGGUUAGAUCAACCAGAACCAUCAUAGAAGCAUGGAACUCACAGCAGCCAACAACCAUCUCCGAAGCUCUAACGCCACAAGAACAAAUGAGGGUGCUCUUUCAUGUUGUGGAACAAGGAACGCCACAAUUCAAAUCUAGUUUCUACCAGAUACUUUCACAGGAGGAACCCAAGCUUAUAGCUGAUUUAG